AGAACUUCACAGCCCACACAAUCCUAGGUAUCAAAAGCACACGAUUUUAAUGACCCAUUAUUUAAUAAUUGUAUAUAUUUAUCCCUUUAUGAAAUAAGAGAUCUGUGGUUUCAAGAGAGUAAAAUCCCCAUUGUGCUCAGUUCCUUUAGCUAUCCUGAUGGCUGACUGCUGAACUUACUCCAGUUUACCAGUCUCCUUAUGGGUGAUGGGAAGGAUGGACAUACAAACAGCAUUCUCCUGAUGCAAUCUCGCAAGUGCUUACUAGAGGGAAGGAUCACUUCCCUUGCUGUGCUGGCUACACUUACUGUGGCCACCAAGCAUAGAGAUAGCUUUCAUCUCACAAUACUGACUCAUAUUCAACAUGGCAUUCACCAGGACUAUCAGACCCUUUUCUACAGAGUUGUACCUUAGGCAGUCACUCACCAGCUUGUGCUGUUGCAUGGGGUUAUUCCUGCCUGGAUGCAGGACUCUGCAUCUGUCGUUACCAGAUUUCACCUGGUAUCUUUUGGCCCACUCCUACAGCUAAUCAAGGUCCCUUUGAAUGGUAGCCCUGCACAUAACCCAAUGUAUAUACGCCUUCCCCACCCAUUUAACUUUCAUCCAUGAACAAGAUAAGGGCACCUCCCAUCCCAUCAUCCAGGUCAAAGAUGAAAGUGUUAAACAAUAUUUGCACCAGUAUCAAUUCCUGAAGAGCAUCACUUGUAAUCAGCCAUAAAUUAGGCUUCAAGCUGUUCACCUUUGCUCUUUGAGGCAUACAUCCUCUUUUGUGUCUCUCCAAUCUGGCUACAAAAAAAAAAAAAAAAGCUAUAAAAUCAUGUCAAAAUACUUGAUUAAGUUGAGGUAAACAUCACUCACUGUUCUCCCCUCAUCCACAGAGCCAGCUCUUUCAUCACAGAACGUAAUCAGGUUAGUCAAGCAUGAUUUGUCCUUGGUAAAUCCAUGCUGGCUGUUCUCAAUUACCUUAUUUACCUUCCUGUGCCUGGAAAUGGCUUCCAGGAAGAUUUAUUCCAUAAUCUUCCCAGGAAUUGAGAUGAUACUGACCUGCAUACAGUUUCCUGGAUUUCCUUCCUAACCUUUUUGAAGGUAGCACUUCUCUCCCCUAAACUAUCCCAUUAUGCACAGAGGUCUGGGAGUCUAGCAACCAGAGGCCUGGCUCUGAAGAGAACAUUUUAAGGAUUUCAAAUAUUAAAAUGGGAAAACAGGUACAAUCUGUAAAAAACUUUAAUACAUGUCUUCUAAAAGAUGGUAUGAAAACAACUCAUCUCACAGACUACAGUCAAAUGGAAGAGCCAUUCCCAUAGAAGUGACUUGGAAAAUUAGAUAUCAUUAUUUUAUUAUGACUGUGGAGAUGAAGACAACUCCACUGAAAAGAAAAUGUUCAAUAUUUUCUACAAUAUUCAUGUCUAUGAAUAAAUAACAAAGUUGAGUCUAAAAGUCUGUGAAAUUGUGACUCUUCCACAACUGAAGAGGGAGCCAUUUCCCACUAGUACUAAUAUAAUGCCCUAUUAUACAAUAUUUUCUUUAGAAGAGUGGAGUCUGAGGGCUCUGACUGACAGGAACAGAGAUUUUUCACUCUGUCUCCUUGUACAGGUAUGUGAGCUAUUCCUCAAUAACAUACCAGACUACAGUUUCCAAACUCCAUCUUACAACACAGCAUUUCCAAAACAAAGUGGAAUCACCAAUACCUAGAUUGGAAAACUGUGUGGUAACCUUACAAGCAAUCCUCGCUCAUUUAUCAAAACUUUGUAUUUUUACCCAGGUUGAUUAGCACAUCAUAAUCCACAUCACUAUCUCAUGUUGCACCACAGUUAAAAGCUCCUAGAAUAAAAAGGAUGUAGUGUCUAUUCCCGUGCUUUUUUUUAUGCCAGACAUGAUACCCAAAACAUUUUCUAAGCCGGUAUCUGUGUAAAAACCUGCUGAUCUGAAGUCCAAGGGAAAAAACAAUCCCUCCUUGAGGUUUUUGGAGGGUCUGAGAAUGGGAAUCUGAGUCACCUGAAAAGUCUUGCUGGGAAAUAAGGGAAGGUGAACAGAAGGACAUAAUGAGGCCUUGUCAAGGUCUUUAUCAAGACAUAAUAGUAUUAUUAGGUUCUCUACCUCUAAGCAGAGAUAGCUAUAGUGCCCAGAUGAUUGUAUUUAGUUUCCCCAUUUUUUGA